GGAUACCCUGCCCUUGGGUCNGGCAUANCCCCGGGAAAACUGGGNAUAAUUCNGGAUAACGCACAUAUGCUGGAAUGCUUUAUGCGUCAAAUGGAUUCGUCUGCCCAAGGAUGGGUCUGCGGCCUAUCAGGUAGUAGUGGGUGUAAUGUACCUACUAGCCGACGACGGGUACGGGUUGUGAGAGCAAGAGCCCGGAGAUGGAUUCUGAGACAUGAAUCCAGGCCCUACGGGGCGCAGCAGGCGCGAAAACUUUACAAUGCGGGAAACCGUGAUAAGGGGACACCGAGUGCCAGCAUCAUAUGCUGGCUGUCCAGGUGUGUAAAAUACACCUGUCAGCAAGGGCCGGGCAAGACCGGUGCCAGCCGCCGCGGUAACACCGGCGGCCCGAGUGGUGAUCGUGAUUAUUGGGUCUAAAGGGUCCGUAGCCGGUUUGGUCAGUCCUCCGGGAAAUCUGACGGCUUAACCGUUAGGCUUUCGGGGGAUACUGCCAGGCUUGGAACCGGGAGAGGUAAGAGGUACUACAGGGGUAGGAGUGAAAUCUUGUAAUCCCUGUGGGACCACCUGUGGCGAAGGCGUCUUACCAGAACGGGUUCGACGGCGAGGGACGAAAGCUGGGGGCACGAACCGGAUUAGAUACCCGGGUAGUCCCAGCCGUAAACGAUGCUCGCUAGGUGUCAGGCAUGGCGCGACCGUGUCUGGUGCCGCAGGGAAGCCGUGAAGCGAGCCACCUGGGAAGUACGGCCGCAAGGCUGAAACUUAA
rnacentral:rRNA from 1 species